CCUACGGGAGGCAGCAGUGGGGAAUUUUGGACAAUGGGCGAAAGCCUGAUCCAGCAAUGCCGCGUGAGUGAAGAAGGCCUUCGGGUUGUAAAGCUCUUUUGUCAGGGAAGAAACGGUGGGAGCUAAUAUCUCUUGCUAAUGACGGUACCUGAAGAAUAAGCACCGGCUAACUACGUGCCAGCAGCCGCGGUAAUACGUAGGGUGCAAGCGUUAAUCGGAAUUACUGGGCGUAAAGCGUGCGCAGGCGGUUUUGUAAGUCUGAUGUGAAAUCCCCGGGCUCAACCUGGGAAUUGCAUUGGAGACUGCAAGGCUAGAAUCUGGCAGAGGGGGGUAGAAUUCCACGUGUAGCAGUGAAAUGCGUAGAUAUGUGGAGGAACACCGAUGGCGAAGGCAGCCCCCUGGGUCAAGAUUGACGCUCAUGCACGAAAGCGUGGGGAGCAAACAGGAUUAGAUACCCUGGUAGUCCACGCCCUAAACGAUGUCUACUAGUUGUCGGGUCUUAAUUGACUUGGUAACGCAGCUAACGCGUGAAGUAGACCGCCUGGGGAGUACGGUCGCAAGNUUAAAACUCAAAUGAAUUGACCGGNNGAGAGNGCGAGACGACGACGAGGGAGAGG
rnacentral:rRNA from 1 species